UCUUUCCGGUGGGGACUGCAGGCUGUGUUUCCUUGGUUGGAGUACCAGUCCAGGCAUCAAACCAUCUUAGUGAACCAGAGCUAGAGCAGGUGGAACAGUGUGUAACAGAGCCACCUUACCUGAGGGCUGCCUUAUGGCUGUGCUGCUUCCUAAUUGAGCUAUAAUGCUAUUGAGCUGCUCCAUAGCCAUGCUGUUCUCAUGGCCAUGCUAUUCUCACGGCCGUGCUGCAUCAUGAUUUAGUUGUUAGCACUGAAUAAAGCUGCCUCCUUCACUGCAUCCCAAACUGAGGAUCCCUGUUGGGGUUGGACUGGCAACCAUCGGUUGACGCAGCUUUGAAGAGAUCUUGAAUUUAGAUCCCGAGAUUUACUAUAUCAGAGGAAGGAAUGCAGAAUAAAACGUGGACUGAAACAAGCAUGACCAGGGCAAAGUAAACACAAUCUCCAUAAAGAGUAAGACACUACCCCAUUCCUCUCCCUUCCCUGAAGUGUCUGGGAAAGAACAAGAGUUUCCUACACGAGCUCUGUGAUACAUUACAAAAUUUCAGUGUGUGUUUGAAAUUCAAAUGCAUGUGAGAUUCGUGCAUGUUACUUUUCAGUUGUUCUCAAUUCUCCCAAAUAAAGCUUUUCCCCUGAGGUGACAUGUGAGGUCGCGGGUCUCUCUGCCAGGGGCAGGAAGGCUGCCCUUCCAGGAAGAGCUGCAUAGACCCUGGGAACCGACCAGCCCAGCUCACAAGAAUGAAGAGAAUGUCGGGAGAGGAAGUGGUGGCUGUGAGUCAGCAUGAGUCAUCUCGUUCCAAUGAGAAUGAAGACUGAGGUGUGCGCCGUUUUUUCUUUAAAUUCUUUUUUUUUUUUUUUGGUCUCAGUCAUGUGGAUAUCAUUGGGAAUGGAGGGAAAUAAGUGACUGUAUGGUCCUUGCUUUUUAAGUUUCAAACUGAUAUAGUUCAGGCAGGCUGUGCCUGAGCCGGUGUGCGUCUCCAGACCAUCACAAGCACCAUUCUUGGAGAGGUGGAGCCGUCAGCUUCUCCCUGCCUCGUGCAUCCUGCCUAUUCUCUGGCCUCUCUAGACGACCUCUCAAGAGUCAGUACUGGAGCACUGGCAUUUGGGGAAAACACUGGAAGUCAUCAGAAGUGUGCGCACUGUGGCCAGGGCUGCAGAUGGAGGCCUCUAAGUCGUCGCCGACCUCGAGCUUUAGCUGGGGACCUUGUCUUCUCAGCAGCUGCCCUUUCUCCCACCACACAUCAGUCACCCAUUCACUUCUUCAUUCCACACAGAUUUCUUUGGGGCCUGCUGUGCUGUGUGCCAGGUUCUGGAGGCAAAGCAAUGAGUGGGCCCGACUCUGCCCCAGCCUUCCCGCACCUCCAGCCUGUACAAGUCGGCGUCGCUGGGGCUUUGCUUGAGAGUGCAGAGGGCUGUGCAGUCAGCUCAUCAUGGACAGACAGCACAGACAUCUCAUUUGGGUAUCCCAGCUUCUUAAAUCCACUCUGAGAUCUGAGCCCCUGGAAUUGGCGACAAAAUAUUCCUUUAACAUGGGUAAGUGUCAAAGUGUUCCUUCUGUGGAGGUCACCUCUCCUCCCAACCUGAGUAGGGCAGACUGACCCUCCUGGGGACCCAGCCCAGAGGCCAUUAGCAGUUUCCUCCCAGUACUUCUUGUCGCCUUCACUUUCGCACUUGGCAGACAUCCAAGAAUAAUUUUAAAUGACUGUAUGUACUGUUUGCUCUUCUCAGAGUAAUUAAUCUGUACGCCAUGAGGAUAAUGUCCGCCCCGUGUGCAUGGCCCAGUAUACGCUGCCAGCUUCAGCCACAUGUCCCCUCCUCAGGGAAACACCUGGCCACUGUGUUCUGAGAAGGCCCCCUCCAUUUCUCUCUACCUCACGACUCCAUUUUAUUUUCUGGUAUACUUUCCCCUCUGCUGGUUCUAUGUCUCCUGGUCCUGGAACAGGAGGAGGAAGCACACGGGGUGUUGAAGACAUGCGGACAUGCCCACGGGCGCCCACGCAGACCCAUCAGCCUUCUGGAUGUACCCUGGGCCUGGAACAUGGGUCCCGUUGAUACAAAUGUCUCCUCCCACCUGGUCAUCACUUGCUCGCACUUUUGAAUCUCCCAGAGACUAACCCGCCAAGGCGUUUACAGCCUGUUGGAGGUGAGGUAGACGUGGGGAUUCAGGGAGAAGCAGACAUAUCUCCGGGCAUUUGCGGGAUGGUUAGCUCUCAAGGUUAAUGCGAGAAAGGGCCAGAGAGGACCGCCCUUGCAGCCCAGACGUUGGGGGCGGCUGUCCUGAGCCCUGGCCAGGCAUCUGGAUUACGCAGGAGUUCUUAAAAGCCCACGUGCCCAGGAUCCCUAGGGCCAGCCACACCGGCAUGUGGGCUGGGAGCCAGACAUCGGUCUUCUUUACAGAUCCCCAGGUCAUCCUGUCAUGUAGCCAAGGCUGACCCAUGCAGUCCAAUACAGCAGCCACCAGCCACAUGUGUCCAUUGAAAACUUAGAACGGGGCUGCUGUGACCAAGGAAUUGAAUUUAUAAUUGUAAUUGACUUAAAUGUACAUGUGCCCAUGAUUGUGGCUGCGAUGGUGACAAUGCAGAGAUACAACUCACAUGUCACAGGACAUUCUUCUGGGUGACUCAGCCUCGGAGCGCUCUGAAUCUGCAACUGUCCAGUGAAAUCACAGUGUGCCCCAGAGGAAGUGAAAAAAAUGCAUAGAUUUUUCAUCUACAGUUUGAACCAAGGCCCGUGCAGCAAUGAGGGCACUGUGCUUUCAAAGUGCUGCCCGUUGAACGGACGCAAGGAAUUAAAAAAACCGAUGGAAGUCCAAGGCCCCAGCCCAAAUCAGCUGUCAUUCACUCUGGCCAGGCACUCGAUCUGCAUCUUUGAAGACUCAGCCAGAGAGGGAGCUUUCUGAAUUAUGAUUGAAUCAUAGGAAACUCGGACUUUGAGACAGUGGGGAGCAGGCUUGCCAGAGGAGGGGCUUGGAACCUGAGGAAACUGAGGAGCGCUAGACACGGUUCACCGAGGCCACUCAGCAUGCUUAACCAGUUUGGGGUUAAAACUGGAGAAACAGAAGCCUAAGCUGAAUCAUUUUCUGCUUAUCUCUCGCAGACUGUCAGAUUCUUUUUUUUUUUUUUUUUUUUUUUUGGAGGGAAAGGACCUUA